GUUUAGAAAGCUUUAGCAAUGAUUUUGUAAAUCAUAGAUUGAAACUUUUUCUCUAAGCU
rnacentral:tRNA from 1 species